AGUGAACGCUGGCGGUAGGCCUAACACAUGCAAGUCGAACGGCAGCACAGUAAGAGCUUGCUCUUACGGGUGGCGAGUGGCGGACGGGUGAGGAAUACAUCGGAAUCUACUUUUUCGUGGGGGAUAACGUAGGGAAACUUACGCUAAUACCGCAUACGACCUACGUGUGAAAGCAGGGGAUCUUCGGACCUUGCGCGAUUGAAUGAGCCGAUGUCGGAUUAGCUAGUUGGCGGGGUAAAGGCCCACCAAGGCGACGAUCCGUAGCUGGUCUGAGAGGAUGAUCAGCCACACUGGAACUGAGACACGGUCCAGACUCCUACGGGAGGCAGCAGUGGGGAAUAUUGGACAAUGGGCGCAAGCCUGAUCCAGCCAUACCGCGUGGGUGAAGAAGGCCUUCGGGUUGUAAAGCCCUUUUGUUGGGAAAGAAAAGCAGCAGGUUAAUACCCCGCUGUUCUGACGGUACCAAAAGAAUAAGCACCGGCUAACUUCGUG
rnacentral:rRNA from 1 species